rnacentral:rRNA from 1 species
UACCAUGCAGUCGAGCGAGACCUUCGGGUCUAGCGGCGGACGGGUUAGUAACGCGUGGGAACGUGCCCUUCUCUGCGGAAUAGCCACUGGAAACGGUGAGUAAUACCGCAUACGCCCUUCGGGGGAAAGAUUUAUCGGAGAAGGAUCGGCCCGCGUUAGAUUAGAUAGUCGGUGGGGUAACGGCCUACCAAGUCUACGAUCUAUAGCUGGUUUUAGAGGAUGAUCAGCAACACUGGGACUGAGACACGGCCCAGACUCCUACGGGAGGCAGCAGUGGGGAAUCUUAGACAAUGGGCGCAAGCCUGAUCUAGCCAUGCCGCGUGUGUGAUGAAGGUCUUAGGAUCGUAAAGCACUUUCGCCAGGGAUGAUAAUGACAGUACCUGGUAAAGAAACCCCGGCUAACUCCGUGCCAGCAGCCGCGGUAA